GCCUGAGAAAUGGCUACCACUUCUAAGGAGGGCAGCAGGCGCGCAAAUUACCCAAUCCUAAUACGGGGAGGUAGUGACAAUAAAUAACAAUGCUGGGUCUAUGACUUAGUAAUUGGAAUGAGAACAAUUUAAACCCCUUAUCGAGUAACCAUCAGAGGGCAAGUCUGGUGCCAGCAGCCGCGGUAAUUCCAGCUCUGAUAGCGUAUAUUAAAGUUGUUGCAGUUAAAAAGCUCGUAGUUGGAUUUCUGUGAGACUUGUUUUGUUCGGCCUGCGGGUCGGGCGAAUCACUUUUCACAUCCUUCUGUUAACCUUACACUCCUUCACCGGUGUGUCUGUGGGCUCAGAUACUUUACCUUGAGUAAUUAGAGUGUUUCAGGCAAGCUUUCGCUUGAAUACAUUAGCAUGGAAUAAUAAG
rnacentral:rRNA from 1 species